CUUUUCAGGAGAGACGAUUUUAAGAAGAAAAAAUAAUUAAGGGGCUGGACAUGCUGAUUACUGACAGCUGUGAUUCACAUCGCUGCCUGGAAUUUUGCUGGUGGUGUCAACAAAUCUGAAGUUGUGUGAUCCUACUUUCUGGAGUACAAUGAUGCCAUGACUCAGAAGAUGAAUCGGACGACAUGAGGAAAGCCCAGACUUUGAUACUGUUCAAAACGUUCAGGCAAAAUGUUGGCAUUUCAUAGCAGUGCCAGUAGAAAGAAAACGCUAUAGCUCCCCUUAAAACAACUGUCCGCGGAUUACAUUUACAAGAAAAGGACAACCAUUGCAGUUAUGUUAACGACAAUGAAAGAUGCAUACAUUCUAGGAGUACUGAACCCCUUGAACGGUCGCGAAAAGACGUAUUGUAAACAAGAACAACAGACUAAACGCAAACAACAGAGGACAAAUAAUGUUUUCAGCCUGCCGCGACACUUUCCUACAUGUAUACGGACCAGUUUAGCACAAGGUCAGUGUACCCAUUUGAAUACUUCAAAAGCUGGGUGGGGUUAAGGCCUAUAGAGGGUGUGAACUACGCUGAAUGGGCGUAAACAAAGACCAGCUCUCUGGAUCGUCUGCAUCUUUCAAAGCUUUCAGCCUGCCUGCCUUGUUUUCCUGACGUCUUGUUGGUUUUUCACCUGCCCUAUCAUGGAGCCCAUCGUUGUCUAUUAACUCAGCGCCUGUCAUCCUGCUUUACCAAAUUGUGACUGGUACAACGUUUAAAAAGUAAAUUUGUAUUGUGUACAUAAAUACAUGAGAGGGUUACUCACUUGAUGAUUUCCUGUCUCUCCUCCAUUUAUUGACCAGUAACAGGAUGAGACCUGACACCAACACAGCCAGACUCACACAGACCAUGAUGACCACUGGAGUACCUAGAACUACAAAUCCCAGACUGAAACACACCAUGAACACUGGACUGCCCAAGAGAGGAAACCUACCUGUUUUGGGAGCAUCAGUGGUCCCAACAAAAACAUCUAGGGAAAAAAAAAGACAAGAUUAAUAUACUGACUGUUAAAGAAAGAAUACUUAUCCAUGUGUUUGUGUGUGUAAAAUAUAGAAAGAGAGGAAGACUAAGAGAAGGAACAAUGGAAAUAGAAUGACCAAAGAAGGAGCAUGGAGACAGAGAGAAUAUUAAUUAUUAAUAGAG